rnacentral:rRNA from 1 species
GUUAUGGUUCAUUGGAUGGUACCAAGUUACUUGGAUAACUGUGGUAAUUCUAGAGCUAAUACAUGCAAAUAGAGUCCCAACCAUUAAUUUGGGAGGGAUGCUUUUAUUAGAUCAAAACCAAUCGGGCCUCACGGUCUGUUGCUUUUGGUGACUCUGAAUAACUUUGGGCUGAUCGCAUGGCCUCGUGCCGGCGACGCAUCUUUCAAAUGUCUGACUUAUCAACUUUCGAUGGUAGGUUCUGCGCCUACCACGGUAAUAACGGGUAACGGGGAAUCAGGGUUCGAUUCCGGAGAGGGAGCCUGAGAAACGGCUACCACAUCCAAGGAAGGCAGCAGGCGCGCAAAUUACCCACUCCCAGUUCGGGGAGGUAGUGACGAAAAAUAACGAUGCAGAACUCAUUCCGAGGCUCUGCAAUCGGAAUGAGAACACUCUAAAUCAUUUAACGAGUAUCCAUUGGAGGACAAGUCUGGUGCCAGCACCCGCGGUAAUUCCAGCUCCAAUAGCGUAUAUUAAAGUUGUUGCGGUUAAAAAGCUCGUAGUUGGAUCUGUGUUUCACGCUGACGGUUCACCGUUUGAUCGGUGUUUAACUGUCAUGUCGUGACACGUCCUGCCGGUUGGCAUGUCCGUGGGCCUCGGUCUGCGGCUGCCAGUUCCAAUCCUGUCGCGGUGCUCUUCACCGAGUGCUGAGGCAGGCCGGCAAGUUUACCUUGAACAAAUUUGAGUGCUUCAUGCAGGCUAUAAUUGCCUGAAAACUGUGUGCAUGGAAUAAUAAAAUAUGACUUUGGUCGUAUUUUGUUGGUUUUCACGGUCCGAAGUAAUGAUUAAUAGGAACCGACGGGGGCAUUAGUAUUGCGACGUUAGAGGUGAAAUUCUUGGAUCGUCGCAAGACUAACCUAAGCGAAAGCAUUUGCCAAGAAUGCUUCCAUUAAUCAAGAACGAAAGUUAGAGGUUCGAAGGCGAUCAGAUACCGCCCUAGUUCUAACCAUAAACGAUGCCAGCCAGCGAUCUGUCGCAGUUCCUCCGAUGACUCGACAGGCAGCUUCCGGGAAACUAAAGCAUUUGGGUUCCGGGGGAAGUAUGGUUGCAAAGCUGAAACUUAAAGGAAUUGACGGAAAGGCACCACCAGGAGUGGAGCCUGCGGCUUAAUUUGACUCAACACGGGAAACCUCACCAGGCCAGAACACUAGAUGGAUUGACAGAUUGAGAGCUCUUUCUUGAUUUAGUGGGUGGUGGUGCAUGGCCGUUCUUAGUUG